rnacentral:rRNA from 1 species
GACGAACGCUGGCGGCGUGCUUAACACAUGCAAGUCGAACGGAAAGGCCCUGCAUUUGUGGGGUGCUCGAGUGGCGAACGGGUGAGUAACACGUGAGUAACCUGCCCUUGACUUCGGGAUAACUUCAGGAAACUGGGGCUAAUACCGGAUAGGAGCUCCUGCUGCAUGGUGGGGGUUGGAAAGUUUCGGCGGUUGGGGAUGGACUCGCGGCUUAUCAGCUUGUUGGUGGGGUAGUGGCUUACCAAGGCUUUGACGGGUAGCCGGCCUGAGAGGGUGACCGGCGACAUUGGGACUGAGAGACGGCCCAGACGCCUACGGGAGGCAGCAGUGGGGAAUAUGGCACAAUGGGCGGAAGUGUGAUGCAGCAACGCCGCGUGCGGGAUGACGGCCUUCGGGUUGUAAACCGCUUUCGCCUGUGACGAAGCGUGAGUGACGGUAAUGGGUAAAGAAGCACCGGCUAACUACGUG